CCCAUUCCUUCCCCAUCCUAUUCCUGUCCCAUCCUUAUUCCUUCCCCAUCCUAUUCCUGUCCCAUCCUAUUCCUGUCCCCAUCCCUAUUCCUUCCCCAUCCUAUUCCUGUCCCAUCCUAUUCCAUCCCCAUCUCCAUCUGUACCCCCAUCCCUUCCCCACCUCAUCCUAUUCCAUCCUAUCCCAUCUCCAUCCCCAUUCCAUCCUAUCCCAUUUUCAUUCCAUCCUAUCCCACCUUCAUCCCAUCCUAUCCCAACUCCAUCCCUAUCCCAUCCCUACCCCAUCCCACACUAUUCCAUCCUAUCCCAUCUUCACCCCCAUCUCCAUCCCCAUCCCAUCCUAUUCCAUCCUAUCCCACCUUCAUCCCAUCCUACCCCAUCUCCAUCCCUAUCCCAUCCCUUCCCAACCUCAUCCUAUUCCAUCCUAUCCCAUCCCAUCUCCAUCCCCAUCUCUUCCCCAUCCUAUUCCAUCCUAUCCCAUCUCCAUCCCUAUCCCAUCCCUUCCCCACCUCAUCCUAUUCCAUCCCAUCCCAUCUCCAUCCCCAUCUCCAUCUGUACCCCCAUCCCUUCCCCACCUCAUCCUAUUCCAUCCUAUCCCAUCUCCAUCCCCAUUCCAUC
rnacentral:lncRNA from 1 species